UUGAAGUUCAGGUAACACUGAAUGGAGGACCGAACCGACUUACGUUGAAAAGUGAGCGGAUGAACUGAGGGUAGCGGAGAAAUUCCAAUCGAACCUGGAGAUAGCUGGUUCUCUCCGAAAUAGCUUUAGGGCUAGCCUCAAGUGAUGAUUAUUGGAGGUAGAGCACUGUUUGGACGAGGGGCCCCUCUCGGGUUACCGAAUUCAGACAAACUCCGAAUGCCAAUUAAUUUAACUUGGGAGUCAGAACAUGGGUGAUAAGGUCCGUGUUCGAAAGGGAAACAGCCCAGACCACCAGCUAAGGUCCCAAAAUAUAUGUUAAGUGGAAAAGGAUGUGGCGUUGCCCAGACAACUAGGAUGUUGGCUUAGA
rnacentral:rRNA from 1 species